rnacentral:misc_RNA from 1 species
GGAAGUAAAAGUCUAACAAGGUUUCCGUAGGUGAACCUGCGGAAGGAUCAUUACUGAGUGAGGGCCCCUCGGGGUCCAACCUCCCACCCGUGUUUAACGAACCUUGUUGCUUCGGCGGGCCCGCCUCACGGCCGCCGGGGGGCAUUUGCCCCCGGGCCCGCGCCCGCCGAAGCCACCUGUGAACGCUGUCUGAAGUAUGCAGUCUGAGACAAUUAUUAAAUUAAUUAAAACUUUCAACAACGGAUCUCUUGGUUCCG